rnacentral:rRNA from 1 species
UGGGGAAUCUUGCACAAUGGGGGCAACCCUGAUGCAGCGACGCCGCGUGAGCGAUGAAGCCCUCCGGGGCGUAAAGCUCUUUCGACCGGAACGAUAAUGACGGUACCGGGAGAAGAAGCUGCGGCUAACUACGUGCCAGCAGCCGCGGUAAUACGUAGGCAGCAAGCGUUGUUCGGAGUUACUGGGCGUAAAGAGUGCGUAGGCGGUUUUCUAAGCUCGGUGUGAAAUCUCCCGGCUUAACUGGGAGGGUGCGCCGAAGACUGGGAAGCUGGAGUGUGGGAAAGGCAGGCGGAAUUCCUGGUGUAGCGGUGAAAUGCGUAGAUAUCAGGAGGAACACCGGCGGUGUAGACGGCUUGCUAGACCAUAACUGACGCUGAGGCACGAAAGCGUGGGUAGCAAACA